rnacentral:lncRNA from 1 species
AUUGAACCAUCUCUGUCGGUAGUUUUAUAUUUUCUACCAAUUUGGACAGUUUAUCCUAUUAUUUGUUGGUACUUACAUGCUUAUUGAGCAUAUUAAGCUCUCAGCGUUCAAGUUUCCCUCUCUCUCAGCUUUAAACCUUUUUUAAAUCUACGUGUAAAUGCAUGCAUGGUGUGAAUGAGGAAUUAAAUUGAAAUAGCAAAGGAGGAGAAGUGAAAACCUCAUCGGCGUUGGCCUCCUUCUCU